rnacentral:rRNA from 1 species
AGUACGGCGAGUGAGCGGCAAAGCUCAAUUUGAAAUCUGGUACCUUUGGUGCCCGAGUUGUAAUUUGGAGAGUACCACUUUGGGACUGUACUUUGCCUAUGUUCCUUGGAACAGGACGUCAUGGAGGGUGAGAAUCCCGUGUGGCGAGGGUGUCAGUUCUUUGUAAAGGGUGCUCGAAGAGUCGAGUUGUUUGGGAAUGCAGCUCUAAGUGGGUGGUAAAUUCCAUCUAAAGCUAAAUACAGGCGAGAGACCGAUAGCGAACAAGUACAGUGAUGGAAAGAUGAAAAGAACUUUGAAAAGAGAGUGAAAAAGUACGUGAAAUUGUUGAAAGGGAAGGGCAUUUGAUCAGACAUGGUGUUUUGCGCCCCUUGCCUCUCGUGGGCUUGGGACUCUCGCAGCUCACUGGGCCAGCAUCGGUUUUGGCGGCCGGAAAAAACCUAGGGAAUGUGGCUCUGCGCCUCGGUGUAGAGUGUUAUAGCCCUGGGGAAUACGGCCAGCCGGGACCGAGGACUGCGAUACUUGUUAUCUAGGAUGCUGGCAUAAUGGUUAUAUGCCGCCCGUC